CACGUAGGCACCAAGCGUUGUCCGGAUUUAUUGGGCGUAAAGAGCUCGUAGGCGGUUCAGUAAGUCGGGUGUGAAAACUCUGGGCUCAACCCAGAGACGCCACCCGAUACUGCUGUGACUUGAGUACGGUAGGGAGUGGGGAAUUCCUGGUGUAGCGGUGAAAUGCGCAGAUAUCAGGAGGAACACCAAUUGCGAAGGCAGCUCGCUGGGACGUUACUGACGCUGAGACGCGAAAGCGUGGGGAGCAAACAGG
rnacentral:rRNA from 1 species